GAUUAAUGCUGACGGUGUGCAUAAUACAUGCAAGUCGAACGUGCAAUGUAAAAGUAGCAAUACAUUUGCAAAGCAAGUGGCGAACGGGUGAGUAACAAGUGGACAAUCUGCCCUUAAGAUCGGGAUAAUUAUUCGAAAGGAUAGCUAAUACCGAAUGUUUUAUAUCUUCAAUGAUUGAUAUAACAAAGGAAGCCGCAAGGCCUCCGCUUUUGGAUGAGUCCGCUGCCUAUUAGCUUGUUGGUAAGGUAAUGGCUUACCAAGGCUACGAUGGGUAGCCGGCCUGAGAGGGUGACCGGCCACACUGGAACUGAGACACGGUCCAGACUCCUACGGGAGGCAGCAGUGGGAAUUUUGCGCAAUGGGCGAAAGCCUGACGCAGUGGCGCCGCGUGGACGAUGAAGGCCUUCGGGUCGUAAAGUCCUGUCAAGUGGGAAGAAGUGUGUGGUGCCUAAUACGUACCAUACUUGACGGUACCACUAGAGGAAGCCCCGGCCAACUCCGUGCCAGCAGCCGCGGUAAUACGGGGAGGGCGAGCGUUGUUCGGAAUUAUUGGGCGUAAAGGGCACGUAGGCGGUCAAGCAAGUCAGAUGUGAAAGCCCUCGGCUCAACCGAGGAACUGCAUCUGAAACUGCUAGACUAGAGUUCGGGAGAGGAGAGUGGAAUUCCCAGUGUAGCGGUGAAAUGCGUAGAUAUUGGGAGGAACACCUGUGGCGAAGGCGGCUCUCUGGACCGAUACUGACGCUGAGGUGCGAAAGCGUGGGUAGCAAACAGGAUUAGAUACCCUGGUAGUCCACGCUGUAAACGAUGGGUACUUGGUGUAGCGGG
rnacentral:rRNA from 1 species